rnacentral:rRNA from 1 species
GUUAAUGCAAGUCGAGACGGAGAAAGGGAACUUGCUCCCGGAUGUUAGCGGCGGACGGGUGAGUAACACGUGGGUAACCUGCCUGUAAGACUGGGAUAACUCCGGGAAACCGGAGCUAAUACCGGAUAGUUCCUUGAACCGCAUGGUUCAAGGAUGAAAGACGGUUUCGGCUGUCACUUACAGAUGGACCCGCGGCGCAUUAGCUAGUUGGUGGGGUAAUGGCUCACCAAGGCGACGAUGCGUAGCCGACCUGAGAGGGUGAUCGGCCACACUGGGACUGAGACACGGCCCAGACUCCUACGGGAGGCAGCAGUAGGGAAUCUUCCGCAAUGGACGAAAGUCUGACGGAGCAACGCCGCGUGAGUGAUGAAGGUUUUCGGAUCGUAAAGCUCUGUUGUUAGGGAAGAACAAGUGCGAGAGUAACUGCUCGCACCUUGACGGUACCUAACCAGAAAGCCACGGCUAACUACGUGCCAGCAGCCGCGGUAAUACGUAGGUGGCAAGCGUUGUCCGGAAUUAUUGGGCGUAAAGGGCUCGCAGGCGGUUUCUUAAGUCUGAUGUGAAAGCCCCCGGCUCAACCGGGGAGGGUCAUUGGAAACUGGGAAACUUGAGUGCAGAAGAGGAGAGUGGAAUUCCACGUGUAGCGGUGAAAUGCGUAUAGAUGUGGAGGAACACCAGUGGCGAAAGCGACUCUCUGGUCUGUAACUGACGCUGAGGAGCGAAAGCGUGAGGAGCGAACAGGAUUAAAUACCCUGGUAGUCCACGCCCUUAUACGA